UCCACCAUCCACUAUCCACCUAUCCACCUAUCCACCUGUCAUUCUAUCCACCCAUCCACCAUCUACUAUCCAUCGGCAGAAGGGCAGGAAGGCUGUGAGCUCAGGGCUGGGCUGUGGGUGCAGGGACUGCCCGUGAAGAGGUCUCCUUGAUGACCAGAGCCUCAGGUGGCCGAGGUUGACCGGGGUGGGCAGAGUCAGAAAAGCCUCAAACCCCACAGAAUGCCUGGGUCACUCUUCGCCCACACAGCCCCCCUGGCCCCCAUGGCGGUCACCACCCUCUGUCCCUGCACCCACCAACCCACCCUGAUCUCCAGACCCACAGUCUGUAUGCUUGUCCAGGCAUCCAGCUGAGCUGGGUGGGCACAGCGGUCAAUGCUGGGGGUCAGGGUGAGCAGGGUACGCACUUUGGCCCUGGAGGGCGGGGCUUGUCGGGGACCCGGUGGGUGCCCAGGAGCCAGGUCUGGUGGCCUCUGUGGGAGUUCCGUGGGUGGAGGGAAGUAAGCAUGAAGGCUGUGGGGCAUCCCACCAGGCUAGGCUGUUUCUGGAACCUUCUGGAAGCUCUGGGCCUUAGGAUGGGGUGGGGACAGGUGUGUGGGCUGCAGCAGGUGGAAACAGGACCCGGGUUCCUGUAAAUCAAAUGAGUGGCAGCAUUGCUGGUCAAACCCAGUUCCAGAGCAAAUCACCCAGAGCUACAGAUGCAGUGGGAGAAGCCGACGGCCCGGCUGGGACCCUGGCCCUGCUGGAUGCCCUGCACAGCACAGAAGCAGCUUGGAAGGAGAGAUGGCCUGGGACAGCAGCCACGUGAGUGACUGGCAGGGCUGCCCAUGCCUUUGGCUGGGUCACAGGGACCCCUGCUCACCCCGGCUGCCCAGCUGGGAGCUUCCACACCAGCCCGAGCUGUGUGAACAGCCUGGAAGGGAAAUGGGCCUGGUUUUGCUUUGAUCCCCAACCAAAUGUGGCUGCCUGCCUCCCCAUUUCAGCUGUGCAAGGAUUUGAUUUAGAAUUCCAGCAGCAGGAAAUCAGAGAUGAGCCUGAGAACAAGGGGGCGUUGACAUUGGGCUGGGCGAGCCCCUGGGGGAGCAUGUGGGUGCCCAGUGCCGCCGGGGGCAGGAACUCACACCUGGGUAAGACUGUGUGUCCAGGGGGUACUGUCUUCUUCCUGCGGAGCUCCAGAACCUGGCACCUGGGGCGGGGCCGCUAUGAGCCCCUCAGGUGGGAAAAACGAGGCCCUGAGAGAUGGUGGUCUGCUCCUCAGCUGGCGUCCACUCAGGCUCUUUGGCACCAGGGAGGGCCUGCCCUUCGUGGCUUGAGCUUUUAGGAGACUUGGGGGGCCUCUCAGGGAGGUCUGGAUCUGCAGGCAGGAGGGAUCAUUGCCUGUGGGAGGCAGGACCCAGAGGUCUCUGUCCAGGCCCGGCCACGGGGUUUGCUGACCUCUCCCGAGGACGCUGUCCCUGUGGGAGGGGCGCGGCCAACUGCGGUCAGACCACAGCCGGGGGGUGGGUGCAGCUGCUCCAGUCUCCCUGCUGGGUAAGCAUUGGUGAUGCUUUGAUGAGGAUCAGAGGCCCAGCAGCUCAGAUACUUGGGCAGGGUGCUCAAGCUCUCUGUGCCUCAGUUUCCUCUCCUGAUGUCCUGGGACCUGGGAGUCGCUGGUCAUGGGUGCAUGGGGACUGAUGGAGACAGAAAGAUGAGGAGCCUGUGCUGGGGGUGAUGGAGGAGGUGGCAGAGGGGACCCCUCGGUUCAGCCCCGACACGGCAUAAACGCGGGGCCUGGGCUCGGGGGAUGACGGUGUAAAUGCAGAUUCCGGGCUCAGGAUCACAGCGUAAACGUGGGGCCCGGGCUCAGGAUCACGGUGUAAACGUGGGGCCUGGGCUUGGGGGAUCAGGGUGUAAAUGCGGGGCCCGGGCUCGGGGGACGGCCACCUGCCAGCACUUUCUGUAAAUGCCCAACGUCAGUCACUCACGCUCGGCCGGGAGCAGGCAGCACAUCCUCAUGUACUGUGGGCACUGGGAGGUAACUUGGAGCCACUAGAUGCACAGCCCCGGCUUCCCUGGGAGCUCAGGUUCCAGACACCAGACAAGGGGCCCUGAGAUCCAGCUGGGCUGGCCUUACAGGAGGCUGGAGGGCAGCGAGUCUUAGAACGCCACACCCGGGUGGUCACACUACUGGGCAGAUCUACUGAAACCAUCAGCCUCCCCUAAAAACGGGGUCCUGUUUACUCCUUGGGCCCUUCCCUCCUGUCCCUUCCUCUCAUGCAGGUGACCCCCCCACACACAGGGUCACCUGUGCUGUCCAGGGGCCUAUCUGGGGGGAAGGUGCUGGGCGACUCUCAAGACCAGACCUCAGACCUGUGUCAUCGGCUGUCCUGUGGUCGGGGCUGAUGGCUGGCCCUGGAGCCCCCCUGGACCCACAGACAGCGGUGGGGGGCCCAACCCCUCCUGGGGCCCUUGAGUCUAUGCACCUGGGCUGAGUCUCAGCUGGGCCCAGGAAAGCUGGAUCCUACUCACCUAGGGGAGGUUUCCAGGUGGCAGGUGGACCCCUACCAGGUAACACAAUCGCACCAAUGGACUGAAAACAAGGUGCUGGCCUUGAGCAAGUAUGACCUUAAAAUGUGACCAUCCUUAUGUAUGUGUUUAAAACGCCGCCACCAUCCUCACGGCUCAGAUGGCACUGUCCGGUCUGAUCGCCUCCCUACCCCAGCGCACAAGAUCAUUUCAAGAAACUGGAUUUGAGGCUCACAUUCCAGGUGUGCGCCAUUGCCUGGGUCAGGGUGAGCCCAGGAGGGAAGAGCGUGUCCUCCCUGCAACAUCUACGCUGAUUAUUUUACCUGAUUGGAUUCCUGGGCCUGUGACGGGGCUUCUCGCUGUAGUGUAGUUGCAGGAGUGCCUGGGGACCCUGUGUGGAUGGAUCAGACACGGAGCAAAAUACGUUUUCAAAAUUAGGGUAAUAAGGUCUUCCAGUCUCACUCAGCAGAGGAGGAGAGGAGAGGAGAGAGGCUCCAUCGGCUUUGACUGUCGCCCAGCCAUUCCUGUGUUUAGGAGCGUCACACAGGGACAGGGAGGGGUGUGCCUUUUCUGCUUGCCAACCAUGGGGCCAGGCCCCUCUGGGGGCCCCAGGAGGUCCCUACUGGAGCCUCUGGCCACGAUGGAGGAGUCUGGACGGUCGUCUCCAGGGUGGACGAACUCUUCUGAAAGGGGGUUGUUUGCAUUUCAGGUGGGAUUUCCUGUGCACACUAGAGCAGACACGACGAUGGUGCCCUUGUCCCUGGGGCGUCUGUGGGCAGGCCCCAGCUGCAGCUCCCACACAUGUCUGCACUGUCCUACUCCCGAGCACAGGGCCGAGAAACAGGAGGGUGUGGGGUCUGUCCUGGAUCAGCAGCGGCGGAUGGGGGCUUCUGUGGGCAGGCGUCUUGCAGGCCCAUGGUCAGGUGCAACCGCCAAUGCUGAUUGAUUGACGAAUCCAAGAUGCAUCUUCCUCUGACCAAGGUACGGGCUGGGCAGGGAGGUGCUGGCUUGUGGAGGCUGGGGGUGGGCCUGGGUGCCUUUGGCUCCUCCUGCAGCUUGCAGCCUGGCCUUGGCUGUCAGCCAACCUUGAGAUGUCCUCAUCCGGGGCGGGACUGGAGGAGCUUGUGAUGCUGCUCUGGUGCCUUGUGUGUGCUGGGACCGCUCCGGGUCCUGCCAAGUCGAUGGUGGGUGCCUUCGCUCUCCCAGCUCUGCAUGGCAGGGGCUCCUCACCUGCUGGCCAGAGUUGGCAGAACUGGAGGCCUUGGCUGGCCCACAUCCUCUGCCAGGCUCCCGACACUGCCACUCAACCCUGGCAGCCUGGAGCCUGUGGCUGUGGGAGCAACUCUCUUCUUAAACACACGUGUGACCCGAGUGUCCUGGCCUGGCCUGCAGCAUCCGCUGGACACCAGGCAUCUCUGCAAGAUCUGAGGAGAGGGGCGCUGCAGCGGGGCCCAGAGCUCGGCCUCCCCGGAGCUAGGCUGGGGCCAGCGGACCAGAAGGAAUCGAUUGCUCAUUCUGAGAGCUACCGAGAGCUGAUUUGAAUCACCGUGGUGCGACUGCCCAGUCAGGGGCGCUGGCGGCCACCGGCGUUCCAGGCAAGGCCAGACUGCAGACGAAGCAGGCUUUCUCCGGCCCGUGGCCUGGGCUGGUGCUAAAUGAUUCAUUCUUUGCCGGGACCAAAGGACACUUGAUCCGCCUUUUCAGGCCUGUCAUUGAACAAUUCAAAUCAAUGGAUGGGAUUACGGGCUGAUAGAAACGGGGGUUCUCCACGCUCAGAGAAUGACAACUGUGGGACUGCUGGGGGCCCCGUCUGCCCGAAGAGCCGUGCUCGGGAGACGCCGAGGGGAACGAGGUGGAGCACGCUCACAUGGUCGGGCUCCGCUACACUCCCUGGACGUUUUGAAAUAGAAUGCAUUAUUUCAGAAUAACAUAUUCUUAUUUUAAUUAACUUUUGAUGUUUCUGAGCUUUCAAUGAUCAGCAGAGCAAAGAGAACCACUCCGCCGGCUUGGAGCAGGCCCUGUGAUCCUAGAGUGUGUUGUGGGUGCGCCUCAGGGCUCGUCACAGGCUGCUGAGCCUCAGUUUCCCUCCUCACGGAGCCUCCUUUCCGACUGAUUCUUGCGAUGACUCCCCAGAUCGACUAUGAAAUCAGUUUUGAGUACCUUGAAAAAUUUCUAAGAAGUUAUGGUUUUGACGCAGAAAGUUAGCUAAAUAAUGCAGCAGGCUGAAUCACAUCUGGAAGAACCGAGAAUUCUAUCCAGAGUCUAAACACUGAAUCAGCAAGCAGCUUCUCUGGCUGUUCGGUGGCCUGUGUUUCGGGGACACCCAGGGAGGUCUCGGAGGCGUGGGGACCUGUCCUGUUGGGUGGUUUUGGAUGAGUCUGGGUUGAUCAUGCAGGGAGCUGAGGGCCCAGCCACAAGGUGUGGCCCUCACGGAAGAUAAACCCAGGAAACGGUGAGAGCUGUCAGUGGGGAAAGUCCGUGGCUGGAAAAUCCACGUGCCCAGACAGGGUGCCCGGCGCUGCUGCCCAGUGGGCAGCGGGUGGGUCUCAGAGCCUGGACGCUGGAGCCGUGUGGCUUCAUGGGCGAAUGGGCCUUUGAAUUUCUUGUGUGACCUGGAGCUUGCUGCUGACUCCCGUGGGCCUCCGUUUCUUCAUCUGUAAAUUGGGGACAUUGAAGAUCCCUCCCAGGGUGACUUUGAGGCUCCACUGGGGACACGCCUGUGGGACCUAAAUAAAGAAUCCAGGUGGGAGACGCAGUCGUGGAACCCGUCCACGCUCUGCUUCCUGGUGUUAAACGUGACGACGGCUGGGCAAGUGGGGCUGUGCAAAGUCAUCUCCAAAACACUU